GACAUCUGAGAACUCAGAAGUCAGAACUCAGAAACAAGCAAUGAACCAAACCAAAGACGCUUAACUCCGAUUACGCGAGCGCACAUGGGUGGUACUCGGAAGCAGAGGGAACGGCGCUUGAAGCCAGCGCGUGAGAGGGGCUCACUUGCCGUUCUUCCAGGCGAACUGAUCCAGGAGAUCCUGUGGAGGAUUCCGGCGAAAGACGUGGUGGAACUUCGCUGCGUGUGUAAGUCAUGGAAAACCCUAAUUUCGUCGCCGCAAUUUAUGAAGGCGAUCAUCCAGCGUACCUACGCCCACAUUGCCGGUUGCGCUUCCAGAGCCGCCAAAGUUAUGGACUCAAUCUCGUUGUUGCUCGCUUCUGUUUCUGACGGCAAUGCUACGGUUAAUGAUAUUUCGGAUGGCGUGAAGGCAAGCAUGGAAGUUGUCAACGCACUACCACUCUCUAAACCCUAAUGAUGCUGUCGUUCCCUAAUUCACCAGUCAGCCUCAGUGCCGUCGAGUUUCCUCCCCAUCAAGCUGUCGGUAUUGUGCCAACUUCCCUACCAGACGCGUCGUUGAUGCUCUGCCACCAUCCCCACUCUCCCUCUCCUCCACAAUCCCAUGCAUGACACCGCACCCCUGCUCGAAGUUGCGCCGCUGCCUUCAAUCGGUGCCAUAGAUCGAGCAGUGGGAAGAAGUUGCAUGUCAAAGGUGCCGGUACACCAGCCCUGAGUCGGUCCCAUCGCUGUCUAUAUUCCGCCGUCGCCAUUAACUGCAACAACAUCAUUGACAAGAUUAUAAACCCACCUGAUUUCUGUUGUUGAAAAGUCUAGUCAGAUGAAAAAAAAAAUAAACUAGUAGAGACGCGUUGUUCACCUUGUUACAUGAACAGUAUAAUGAGCCAAUUGGUAAAAAAUGCCGAAGCAAAGCUGGUGGAAGUAGAAGCUACAGGAUUCGGAUUCUUGAAGCGAAUCUCGCACUGGUCUGUGAAAUAGGAUAUUAUGGUUCAGCUAGAAAGGGCCUACGAUGUCCGAACAAGUACAUUAAAAGUAGAUGUCGGCAACAUUCGCAUUAACGCCAACUUGAUUGGGUGGGUUUUAGACAUUCCUUCUAGUGGCGACGACUUCCCCGAAUUCAACAAAUAGAAUGCUGUCCAUGUGGCCAUCAAAGGACAAUUCCAGAAAAGAAUAACCACCGAAUUGCGCAAUUUAGUCUACAGUUGCUCUAUGAAAAUCGAAGCAGACAGGAUGAAGUUUAUACAACAUUUCAUCUUAGUGGUCUUAAAGAUGUUCCUGUACUAAAAAACUCAACAAAAAUCUCGCCGUGGCACAUACCCCUGAUCCAGGAUGUCUUGGACCUAAGUAGAUUCAAUUGACCGUUGAAGAUUUUCAAGUGGUUGGAAAAAGGCAAUCGAAAAAUAUAAAGUUAAAAAGAACCAAACAUGUGAGGCCUGCAUAUUGGCGCUAUUGGUAUGUUACAUUAUUAAACUACUAGUAGAUGCAGCAUACCAUUAUGUUGUAAACCAUAAUUUGUGAGCUUCUCUUUGGUAUUGUACUUCUAGGGACUGAAACAUAGCUUUCUCGAUGACUGUCAAGAAUCAUAGCCAUGGAUUACUGCAUGGAUUUCCGUUAAAUUCGAGAAGGCAACUAAUGUUCUUUUCGAGAUACUAACUUAAACGAGUUCUUCUUUAUACUGUACUAUGAUACCUUGCUUCCACAUGAAUAGUAAGAUUUUUAUAACUCGGACAUCUUUUUUCAUAUCUAAUUUGGAUGAUUAUUAACUGAUACAUUGGAUCUUUAAAAAUCAAGGAUGCAUCACAGACAAAGCGAAAAAAGGUGAAGAACUUAUGGGCCGACCGAGCACGUAAGACAACAAAACCACAUUUCAAAAAAGCACACUCAAAAAGGAUACGAAAAACUUCAGUGCCUCUCAUAGUAAGUACCUAUUGAAAUGUAUGUAAGUUCCAUUCAUUAUCUUUUAAGUAAGAGAAAGAUGCUAGGUUGAAGUGAGUAGAUUAUUUAAUAGUUUGGUGUAGGUUUCCUUAAUUGUAAAAGUGGUUCUGUGUUUCAGUAUGCAUUGGAUAUUUUGUAUGGUUACAAUUUUAGUAUUCUUACGUAAACAAUUGCAUGGUUAUUUUUUUAUUUUUGGAUGUAUUCGAACAGGAAAGCACUAAUGCUAGAGAGAGUAAGGAGGAAUCUAUGAGAAGGCAGCUCCGUAAGACCACAACAAAACCACCUUCAAGACGAGGACGCACACAACAAAUGGAAAAACAAAACCACCCUCAAGACAAAGAUGCAGAUAACAAUCAGAAAAAUAGACAGCAGCUCCUAAGAUAUUUACAACACAGGAAAGAAUGGAAGCUACGAGGAGAAAGGUGUGCGUUGUUAAAGGCAGAUCAUGCAGAAGGAACACAAAAUUAUCAAUAGCACCAGUGCA